rnacentral:lncRNA from 1 species
CACCAAUCACCUUAAUUCCUGAUUUCUUUGGCCUAAUUGAAUUAAAAAUAUCUCUCAUUUUUCCUUCUGCCCAAUCACGCACAUACACACCAUCACUCUCUCUCUUCUCUCGGACCUUCUUCUUCUUUCUUCUCAUUCCGUACACCCGAGCCACCCUUACCUCACAAUCAUCAUCAAAACAUUAUGGAUCGAAUUGGAAAUCACUACCAUCGCAGUCACCUCGAUCCCACGAACUCAUUGAUACCCUUAGGUCGAGGAAUAGACGUCGGGAAUUCGAGAACUCGGGAGCUCUGGCGAGGUGUAUUUUUCUACUUUGUGAUCGUGGUCUUUUUCUAUGGUUUAAAGGCUUGAGGUGGGUCCUAAUCAACUUUAUAGGGACCCUAGAUUAGUUUUGGAGCAGUUUGAACGUUGGAAUAGGUGAGAACAUGGAGUUGCAGGUUGGCCGGUUGAUCCAAGCCUUACUCCGACCACUUUCUGUCGGUUUUAGAACCUCAAGUAGGUAAGAUUGUAUUCUUCUAGUUGAGAGUUUCAAAUCCAUAUAAAAUUCAUGGAAUUUGGUUGAAAAAUGAUGAAGAUAUUAAAGUUUUAAGAUUUUUCCAAAAAUCAGCGACACAAACGGCGCCCGACGGCCAGCGAUGGAUUCCGACAAAGCCAUCGGAGAAGGAGGAGAAUAUUAUGUCUAACUUUGACAGAAUAUACUAACAGCGUCAGGUAACUCUAUUAGUUUUUAAACAAAAUAUUCUACUAUUUAAUGAAAUAUUCCCUAACGCCGUUAGGGAUUCCGUGCCUGCACGUGCCGGCUUAUGAGGGCGCGUGAGACGUCAGGAAAUUAAUCUAAAAAUAUUGGGGUGUUCGAGUUGUUGAGUAGGUCAUGUUGGUAUAUUCAAACACCCUAUUUGAGCAACGUAUGAGAAGUUAUUCCUAGGGUUUGUGUAUGUGCCUUAAAAUUAAUGUAAAAUUAGUUAUUUCGCAUAUAGGUGAGACUUACCCGGAGGACAAACGUGGUCAAACGAGACUUGGGGGCUACGAUCCUACUACUUACCAGUGAGCGGGCUUUUUUUUUCUAUAUAUAUGUAAAUAUGCUUAUGAAUCCCAUAAACUACUUUAAAUGAACGUAUGUUUUAAAUGCCAUGUCGUGUGCAUUAUGUGUUAGUAUUGCAUUAGUAUAGCUAUGCAUAGUAUUGGAUGAGACUGCGCAGACUCAGGUAAGUUUCAGGUGAGUACAUCAUGAUGGUAUUGGGUGCGUGUGUGUGGUUAUACGUUGAUGCAUUUUGAGCUUAUUAUCCUGCACAUUGGUGUUAGUGUUCUCGCCCAUGGCCAGGGCAUAGUUUUUCACAUGAUGUUCACCUCCUGGGCCGCACGCUCACUUUGGAUCCAAGUUUGGUGCACAGCCAUAUUGCACAGACCACAAUAGGUGGUUCCGACUCGUAGGUGACCUGCAAUUAUUUGCACAGCCUUCACGUGAUCGUAGCACUUAAGCGUACUUAUCUACACCCAGCCCUGUUGUACAGACCACAAUAGGUGGUUCCGACUUAUGUGCAUGCAUACUUGAUGAGCUAUAGAUUCAAUUGUACAGGUUACAUUAGGUGACUCCGGUUGGCAUACUAUUUUAGGUUGAUUCGUAUCACCUGGCUUACACAUUUUAUGGUUGAACAUCUUGACAUGGCAUACCUCUGUUUUCACUGCUCUAAGCAUUAUCCUUAUGUACCUAGUUGUUAUUAUUUUCUGGAAAAUUAUAUGGGUUUACAGUGAGGGGUUAGUAUGUUCAUAAAGACAACUGUGUUUUCAAAAACUUUGUUUUUGCCUACUCACAUUUUUUGUUUUGCACCCUUUCAGGUUCUAGGUAGUUGGUCAUCCUUGGUGGCUCACGAGGACUUUCACGGCGGUUCUGACAUCUCUGUAAAUAAGUAGGGAUUUUUUUCCCUGUUUGUAUAAUUAGUACUUAGUUGGUUCGAUUGCACUUUCGUUUACCCAUGCUCUGAUAUUUGUAUAACUUGCUUGGUCAUCUUUACUCACUUAUAUUAUCUUAGUUUAGAUAAGUUUGGUUUUAGGUUUUUAUUUAUUCGCAUUUCUUUUAUUAUUACUUCUGUUGCGCAUUUUGGCUACGUUACUCUUACGUGACGGGCAUCAUGUUUCGACUUCGGUUGGGGUGUGUCAUAAAAGCCUCUUCAAGUCUUCAUGAUUUGGCUUGCAGAGAUAUGUGGCUCCAUAUGUGGCCUGAAUUGCCCCACAGAAGCGCUCCAGGUUUUUAAUAGCAGUAGUCUCCGCAAGUCGGCAAUACUCAUCAGUUGAGUUUGCAGAGCACUCAUUAGCUAGCAUCCGAAAUGCAGAUGUGAGCUUCUGAUGAGGUGAUAGACUUUGUCGGCCUACGACAUUUAUCUUCCUUGCAAAGUAGUGGUCAUGAUUGACAACUGUGUUCAAGAUGCUUUCAAAAAUCUCUCUCCUCAUUCGAAACCGUCUCCGAAAAUCAUGAGCAGGAAAUCUCGGACGCUCAAUAAAAUAAUAUUUCAUCAUUCGGUCAUGACACUCUUCUCUAUCACGUUGCACAAAUGAACGCUUCGUGACAUAACCACAAUAGCUAGAUUCGACAUGGUGCUCAUAUUGCAUAAGCGAGUUUGGAAGUUUAGCUUAUGCGUUGAUCAUUUUUGAAUCCUCAAUGUCAAGGCUUGCUUGGUAUUAUGUCAUUUGCAUUGCCCUGCUACACCUUCUUCUAUCAUCCAUUGUUGAUAUAUUGAGGAUUUUUAUGAAACAAAAACACUUUGAAAGUUGAAAGAUUAGUGAAUAUAGGGAAUGAUUGAAGGUUGAAAGAUUGUGUGACCAACUGAUAUUGAACAUGUGUUUAUAUAGAGGAUGAUUGAUGAAAGUUGAAAGUUUGGUGAAAGUUGAACGGUUGGUGAAAGUUGAAGAUUUGUGAAAGUUAAAGACUUGCUUUGUGGAAAGAUUUAGUGAUUUUUUCAAUAUUUAUUGGAAUUUAAAUAUUUUUAUAUUAAAAUGUUCAUAAAAUUAAUUUACCAUAGGCUACAUAAUUUUUUUUAAAAGUUAAUUUAAGAAAAAAAAUUAGCCUAAGUUCAUUCUUUAAUAAUCCCGAACUAAAAUUUUAGGCUAGGGUUGGAGCAGAAAAACUGUUUCUGUGUUAAAAGCUAAAUUUUUUAGAUUAAAAAUUUUAAAUUUUAACCCAAAGGUUGGAGAUGAUUUAAGAAUGGAUAAACUUAACCAAGAAAAGAAGAAAAAAGAUGAAGGGCAAAUAAGUGAGAAGCAACAUGACACGACACACGGACGACCAUAGCAAUAAAGCGUGCGUCCUCACGUCCAUUGAAUAUAUAGAUGGGAGCUACAACAUCGUGUUUCACGUGCAUGUGUAUUAUACAUAAAGGCAUAUACAGUGUUAGCUUAUAUAUUAUAAAGUUUGUAGGCCACUUACCCAAUUUGGCAUAUGUUUUAUCUUUUUACGUGAAUAACCAAUGUGUUAUGAUGAUACAAGUCUCUUAACAUAUCCGGAGUUAGAAAUAUCAUAAGACAGUGUUGCGAUCAUAUUGAAAUUAAUUGACAGUUUGUAUUAUAUAUUUGAUUAUUCUUUAUUAACUUAAGGAGACAGCAUACUUAGACCUAAUUUAGUCACAUUCUCCAACCGAAAAUAAAGCGGUGUAGUAUUCAUACACUUUUUUUUAUUUCUUACACAGUCUUAAUUAAUUUCUAUUGUUUGAUCUUCUUCAAUUCAUUCGAUCUGACGACCGAAAAUUAAGAUGGUGUGUGGACGAGUAAAUUAUAACAAUGGUCCCUCAACUUUAAUCAAAUUGGAGCAAGGGUGCUCAACUAAAAAUCCAUUACCAUUGGUUCCUCAACUCAUCAAAAUGUGUAGCUAUGGUCAUUUUCGUCAACUUCGUUACAAUUUUGUCAAAAUAAGUUAUAUUGGAAUGACUAUUGCUACAAUUGGGGUCCCUCAACUCAUCAAAACGUGUAGCUAUGGUCAUUUUCAUCAAUUUCGUUAGAAUUUUAUCAAAAUGAGUUUUGUUGGAAUGACCAUUGCUACAAUUGAAUUAAAGUUGAGGGACUAUUAUUUCAAUUGAGUUAAAGUUGAAAGAUCAUUUCUUCAGUUGUAUUAAAGUUGAAGGAUCAAUGGUAAUGAAUUUUUAGUUGAGGGGACUAUAGCUGCACGUUUUAAUGAGUUGAGAGAACAAUAAUAAUGAAUUUUUAGUUGAAAAACUAUUACUUCAAUUGAGUUAAAAUUAAGAAACAAUUGCUACAAUUUUUUUAUAUGGAAAGUGGAUGAUGUGAAUAGCACAUCCAAAAAUAAAAGGGAACUUUAACGAAAAGCACCCGGUACUGUUCACUUUAACGAAAAACCACAUUUUUACACUAAAAAGUCAAUCCUGGUACUAUUCACUUUACCCUUUAUUUUGUCCUUAUCAUUAAAACUCAAAGUUUUCAAGCCCUUUUCAUUAGUUUUCCUAAAAUAAAAUGCACCACAAUUUGGUAGGAUCUUCCUGUUGAGAGUAAUAAAUUAAUAAUUGCCGAAAUAUUGGAUAAUUUGUCGGCCACAACGCUAUGAGGGAGUAUCUGGGGAUGAAUAUACUCUUGCCGACAGAUGCCCAAAUUCCAACUGCCAUUCAAAUGAGCCCUCCACCACCACCGGCCAUAAUAAAUUCUCUUUCUUUAGUGAAGAAGAAAAAGAGGUACUUGGCCCUCACCUCAACUUUUUGAGAAAGAACAAGUUUAUCGCUAUCAGAAUGUUUCGGUCAAUUAUAUAAGUUAUGUGUAAAUUUUUCUUUAGAUAACAUUACAUUAUUAUAUUUAAAAUGUUCCGUAACGAUAAAUUUGUUUCAUACAAAUUAUUCUCCAACUUCUUGGAUUUUUCUCCUUUUUCCCGAAAACCAGCUUAUAUUAGUGUUCAUCCUCUGUCAAUAUCACUCGCCCACAACUAUUCAACUAACUUUUAAUAAUUUGACAACGUGUCAUAUUUUUGUGCAAAGCGGGCCCAUUUUUGUGGGUGAUAUAAUAAUGGCGUAUGUGGUUUGUCAAGACAUAUACUCAUUUAUCCAUUAGCAGUUAGGUAAGUCACCUCACUCACCCACAGCCUAACACAUCAACAAAUAUUGCUUACAAAUUCUAGAAAAUUCGACCAAGAAAAAAAACCAAAUGCUCGCAAAUUAAAAUUGUGUAACAUGAUUAGUUUUUUAUCCAUUAGUAUUAAUUUUACGUUGGAAGAAAUUCCAAAUUUAUUCUUGUAAAGAGGGAUAUGAAAAUACUUUGUAUGUCUAUCACCAAAAUCUUCGAAUGUUUGAAUGGUUGAUUUUCAAGUCUCACACAAUUGGAUUUAGUUCAAGUGAGAAAGAAAUACACUCAAACUAUUAGAUAUGAGGAAUGAAAAUACACUACAAAAUCUUGUGAACAUUUCUAAUAUUCUCUUCUAUCUACUUUUUGUGAACCAAGUUUUUAUUUGUUUUUUUUUUUAACAAAAGAUAUUUUUUAUACUAGGGAAAUAAGGUGGGUUUAGCCUCAUAAUGGGCUAACAUAAUCUAGUUCAAACUUGCAUUUGGUGAGAAUCGAACCUAAAAUCUCUCACUUACAAGUGAAGAGGAAUACCAUUAGAAGUGUCAUGAAAUUAGCAGUCUUAUAUGUAAAAAAUUGAUUGACUAAAUGCUGUGUUAAAAAACAAGAUUAAUACUUGCAUCUCCCCACUUGGAAAAUGCAAAUAUUUCAUUUCUUGCAAAUAACGUAUAUCAUGCGUUCUGUUCAAUCGCAUAUUCAAAAAUGUUAAAAACAAGAUUAAUAUUUCUAUCUCCCCACUUGGAAAAUGCAGUAUUUCAUUUUUUACGAAUAACGUAUAUCCUGUGUUCCGUCCAAUCGCGUAUUAAAAAAAUGUGUGAAGUUUGGAUUAACUACACUCUUUGAGAAUUUCCUUAAAUAACCACUUUUUGAAAAUUUCUUAUAGGACUAAGUGAGUCUCCGCUGAGAAUUUCCUUAACUAACACAACACUACUUGAGUGAUAAUUUGUUAUAUCUUGAAUAGAGAAUAAAUCAGUUCCCUACUUUUGAAGGUACUAUUAACUUACACUAUAUUUGAAUGAGAACAAUAAACUUAGAAUUUAGAUGAAGGAAAUAAAACAGUUUCCUACUUUUGAAGGUACUACUCGAGUGAUAAUUUGUUAUAUCUUGAUAACGUGUCAUAUUUUUUUGCUAAGCGGACCCAUUUUUGUGGGGUGGUAUAAUAAUGGCGUUUGUUGUUUGUCAAGGGCAUAUACCCAUUUAUCCAUUAGCAGUUAGGUCACCUCACUCACCCACAACCUAGUACAUCAACAAAUAUUGCUUACAAAUUCUAGAAAAUUCAACCAAGAGAAAGAAAACCAAAUGCUCGCAAAUUAAUCUGUGUAACAUUAGUUUUUAUCCAUUAGUAUUUAUUUUACAUUGGAAGAAAUUCCAAAUUUAAUCUCGUAAAGAGGGAUAUGAAAAUACUUUGUAUAUCUAUUAUCAAAAUCUUUGAAUGUUUGAAUGAUUGAUCAUCAAGUCUCACACGAUUGAAUUUAGUUCAAGUGAGGAAGAAAUACACACAAACUAUUAUAUAUGAGGAUUGAAAAAUACACUACAAAAUCUUGUGAUAACAUUUCUAAUAUUCCUUUCUAUCUACAUUUUGUGAUAAGUUUUUUUUUUCCUUUUUUGAACAAACUAUAUUUAUCUACAUUAAGGGAGAGGAGGUGAUCUUAGCCUCACAAUGGGCUAGCAUAAUGUGGUUCAAAUUCGCCUUUGGCGAUAAUCGAACCUAAAACUUAUCAUUUACAAGUAAAUAGGAAUACCACUAGAUGGAUCAUGAAAUUAGCAGUCUUAUAGGUAAAAAAAAAUUGAUCGACUAAAUGAUGUGUUAAAAAACAAGAUUAAUACUUGCAUCUCUCCACUUGAAAAAUGUAGAUAUUUCUGUGAACACGGAAAAUUCCUGAAACGAAAGAGACAAGAACAACGUGCACAAAAUAAUAUUUUGGUGUUAAUGGAUUUGUUGGGUUACGAUCUCUUUUAACUUGAUCCUCUGAUUCGAUCUCCGUAAGGUGUUGAUUUAUGGAUGUUUCGUUGAUCCAAGGGCUGUUGAGGCUUGAUCUUAGAUGAACUGUUGGAAGUUUCUUCAAGGGGCCGUGGGCUUGAUCUUUGAAGGUGGAUUUGAGCGGAUCUUCAAGGAGCCGUUGGGGCUUGAUCUUGAGGAUGAGUGUUUCUUCAAGGGCCGUUAAGGCUUGAUCUUGAAUAACGGUGAUGAACGGAUCUUCAAGGGCUUUUGGGCUUGAUCUUGAAGAACGGUUGGAUGUGUGGAUUUGUUGAUGUUGUUGAUCCAAGGGCCGUCGGAGCUUGAUCUUGGAAGAACGAUGAACGAAGAACGAAGAACACUUUCUUCAAAGGCCGUCGGGGCUUGAUCUUGAAUUGGUGAUUGUUGAUCCAAGGGCCGUCGGGGCUUGAUCUUGGAAGAACGAUGAACGAAGAACGAAGAACACUUUCUUCAAGGGCUGUCGGGGCUUGAUCUUGAAUUGGUGAUUGUUAAUCCAAGGGCCGUCGGGGCUUGAUCUUGAUUCUUCGGGAUGAACGGAUGAUGAACAAUGAACACUUUCUUCAAGGGCCGUCGGGGCUUGAUCUUGAAUUGGUGGAAGUUCUUCAAGGGCCUUUGGGGCUUGAUCUUGAAGGUGGAUGAUUGUUGAUCCAAGGGCCGUCGGGGCUUGAUCUUGGGAUGAACAGUUGUGUGGAUUUGUUGAACACUUUCUUCAAGGGCCGUCGAUGCUUGAUCUUGAAUUGGUGGAAGUUCUUCAAGGGCCGUUGGGGCUUGAUCUUGAAGGAGGAUUUGACGAAGAACGAAGAGGGCUUUCUUGAUCCUUCGGGAUUUGCUUGAAUUUGGGAGGUUGGAUGCUUGAAAGCUUUAGAGUUUCAAAGCUUCAAGGAUUUUGGAUGUGUGGGGAGUAUUCUCUUCCAUUUUGGGAGUAGAGAAAUGUAUUUGUGAAUUGGUUUUUGAUACCUUGAUGUAGAAGCCUAUUUAUAGGCUUUGAGAAUGAAUCACCACCACAAAAUAUUUUUUUUCUUUUCCAAGCACCAUUGCCUAAUUUCCCACUUAAUACAAUUUUAAACUUGAAGUGGUAAUUUUAUGGCCUAAUUUUCCACUUAAUAUCAUUUUAAACUUGAUAUGUGCAUGCUUUGUCAUUGCCCAAAAUGAGAAGAAAACCUUGUUUUGAUCUUCAAUGAAUUGAAAUGUGCUUGCCUUGUCAUUGCCCAAAAUGAGAAGAAAAACUUGUGUAAUCCUUCAAGGGUAUUUCUUUUUAUUUUGUUGAGUCGCACACCAUGUGUACAAUUUGUAUGACACGUGGCAUAUGCCAUGUACGCCUUGACACGUCAAAAUUUUAAUGCGUUGGUGAACAUUUAUUUCACCGCAAUUUCGGUGUCUACAAAUGCCCCCACUUCAAGGUGCGUCGUAUACAUGUGCUUGUCACGUGUAGGAGAUGCGUUUUGAAGUCCCUUACUGUAGAUGUCAAUCCAAUGGCCAUCGAGGCUUGAUCUUGAAUUGGGCUGGAGAUUUCUUCAAGGGCCGUUGAGGCUUGUUCUUGGACUUUGUUUGAAAUUUCUUCAAGGGCCAUCGAGGCUUGAUCUUGAAGGUUGAAAUUGGACCACAAGGAGCUUCAUGUGGUAGAUGAUCUUUGGCUUUGGUAGUGGAUGAAUCGGCACGUAUUUGUUUUUGCGCUUUGUUGACUUUCCACAGCUUUGAUCUUGAACUGGGUUGGAGGAUUUUUUGGAUUCCUCCAAUUGUUGAUUUUCCACAGUUUAUUCUUGAACUGGAUUUGAUUCAAAUAUGGUGGACGCUUGAUCUUGAAUCGGACUUGUGAUUUCCUCAAGGGCCGUCGAGGCUUGAUCUUGAAUUUGGCCGGAAACUUCUUCAAGGGCCGUUGAGGCUUGAUUCUUGAAGGUUGACUCGAACACAUGGCAAGCAGGCACGAGGUGAAGGUGACGACUUGUUGCUUUGUUCAAUCUUUCUAAUUCACACCUGAGCAGUUUGGUCAACGGUAUGAUCUUCAAGAUUGAUGGGCUCUUCUUCCAGUUGGUGAUUUGAUCUUUAAGGAUUUGAUUCAAGGGUGGUGAAACGGCACAUGCAGCCCACAACGCCUAGCAAGUCGACCCAAGAAUUUGAGGGUUAAAACGAGUCCUCCACCCAGAGUGAUUGCAAACCUGAUGAUAUGAGAUACUUUUGAUUUUGAAGAAGUAGCGGAUGAAUCGGCACGUGCUUUGUUGUGCUUGUCUCCACAUGCUUCAAUGUAUCAUUUUCCCUUGUCUUAUCUAUUCUUCUAGCAGAAUGUAGCAUCUUCUUAAGUUCUUCAACUCAGACUCCUUCUGCUGAGCUGACUGUGCAGGCUGCAUUAUUCUCUGCUUGUUUCUUUAGGCAGAUGUGGCAGCUUCUUGAGUUCCUCAGCUCGGACUCCUUCUGCUGAGCUGAUUGUGAAGACUGCAUUCUUAUCUGCUUGUUUCUUCUGUACGUUGUCUCCACAUGCUGCAAGGUAUCAUUUUCAAUUGCCUUAUUUGUUUUCCAGGCAAAUGUGGCAUCCGAGUUUGAGUGGAGGUUCUGGCAUAUUGUUUUCUUUAUCCUUGUCUUUGUAGGUAAGAACAAGGACAAAGGAAAGGACAGGGAGAACGCAUGAUAUGAUAUACUCUUGCUUUCUACCCUGGUGAUAUGAGAUACUUUUGCUUUGGUGUCAUUUGUUUGCAGAGGUACCCCAAGGAAUAAGAAACACUGAGUGACUCGAGAGGCUUUGUUGGGAAGGCAUUCUAGGAGAUGAAGAAAGGUUCUUGGAGAUGAAGAAAGGUUCUCGGAGAUGAAGAAAGGUUAUGUAUGUCUGCCUUGCUAUGGAGGGUAAAGGUGGACAGUUAUAGGAAAUUCUUUAGUACCUGUAGAGGUACUAUUCUUUUACUCGUGUCGGCAACCAAUGUGUGAUUGAUCAGUAUGGCUUCACGUGUUUUCUUCUUUAUCAGAAAUCUUCGACAAAUUGUCCGUAAUUUUCGUCAAGCUGAGUGUGCAUGUGACAGGUGUUGACGAGGCUGAAAAAGACUGGUGCCUCUUCGAUAUCUGGGAUCGGCGCUUCGACAAAUUGCCCGUGAUUUCCGCAAAGCUGAGUUUGCGCGUGACGGGUGCUGACGAGGCUGAAAAAGACUGGCGCCUCUUCGAUAUCUGGGAUUGGCGCUUUAACAAAUUGCCCAUGAUUUCUGCAAAGCUGAGUUUGCACGUGACGGGUGCUAACGCGUCUGGAAAAGCAAGAUGCUUCUCCGAUUUCUGAGCUUGCCUCUUUGAUUUUUGAAUUGGCCUCUUCGAAUUCUGAGCUCGCCUCUUCGAUCUUUGAAAUCCCAUCGAGUGUUGAUCUUUAUAGAGGCACGCAGUUCGUUUCAAAGCACACUUGAAUUUUCGCUUGUAGAAACUCCCUUCUUGCACUUCUAAGAUCUUGAUUUGUCCGACCUCUUCUUUCUUCAACACCUUUGAAAAUGUCUGGACCCUCCGACCGUCAUUUUGAUUUGAACCUUGGUGAAGAGGUAGUCCCGUCUUCUCCAGAUAACAUAUGACGCCCAUCUUUCAUAUCCCCUACUGGUCCUCUUACCGUUGGGGAUUCGGUGGUGAAGAAUGAUAUGACCGCUGCGGUGGUGGCCCGAAACCUUGUCACUCCCAGAGAUAACAGACUACUUUCCAAACGGUCUGAUGAGUUGGCUGUUAAGGAUUCUCUGGCUCUCAGUGUGCAGUGUGCAGGUUCUGUGUCUAAUAUGGCCCAACGCCUAUUUGCUCGAACCCGUCAAGUUGAAUCAUUGGCGGCUGAAGUGAUGAGUCUCAAACAGGAGAUAUUAGAGGGCUCAAGCAGAGAGAUAAACAGUUGCAUAAGCUCGCACAUAGCUAUGCGACAAACAUGAAGAGGAAGAUUAACCAGAUGCAGGAAUCUGAUGGUCAGAUUUUACUUGAUCAUCAGAGGUUUGUGGGUUUGUUCCAGCAGCAUUUGCCUUCGUCUUCUGGGGCUGUACCGCGUAAUGAAGCUCCAAAUGAUCAACCCUUGGCUCCUCUUCUUCCUGGAGUUCCGCCGAGUGGUGUGGCUUCAAACAGUCAACCUCCGACGCCUCUCAUUUCUGGAGCUCUGCUGAGUGGUGAGGUGGCACCUAAUCGUCCUUGAAGAUCCCCUCUUGUAAAUUUGAUUUGAUUUUUUUUUAAGUAUGUAUAAUGCAAAUUUAUGUAAAAUUUCCAGAAAAAAUAAAUAAAAACGGACUUUAUUUCUCUCAAUGCAUUUGUUUUGUUUUGUUUUUGUUUUUUUUGUUUUUUUGUUUUUGUUUUUUUUGUAAAUACAUAAUAACAUAUGUAUUUAUUUAUUUAUUCUUUUGUAAUAAAAUUGACUUUCUUUAAUAAAACUUUUAUAUUUUUCUUAUUUAUUUUGAUAUGACUGAACUCGAAAUUGAAUGUUCGAGCCGCCUACGUACCCUUCCAAAGAAGAGAUCAAGCCAUAACGUAGUUCAAAUGAGUGAUGAAUUUAAUAGUGAUUUUGAUGAUGAUUUUGCCGUACACAGUUUAUGCUCUUGUGGGCCAGGAGCUUUGGUGUUGCCUUUUAUGCUCGUGCAGACCAGGAGCGUUGAUGUCGCCUUUUAUGCUCGUGUGGGUCAGGAGCGUUGAUGUUGCCUUUUAUGCUCGUGCAGACCAGGAGCUUUGUGCCAUGCAGUUUAGACUCGUGCGGGCAAGGAGCUUUGGUUCGUGCAGUUUAGGCUCAUGCGAACAAGGAGCAUUGGUUCGUGCAGUUUAGGCUCGUGCGAACAAGGAGCAUUGGUGUUGCCUUUUAUGCUCGUGCAGACCAGGAGCUUUGUGCUAUGCAGUUUAGACUCGUGCGGGUGAGGAGAAUUUGUGAAUUUUGUCAAGCACUUUUGGAGAGGCGUUCCUUACAAUCUUCAUAGCAAGGAGCCUUGACCGAGUGAUUGAAGAAGUCUUCGGGAAAGAAGUCGCACAUCGUGAUGGCAACAGACGAUCUUUGUGUCGUAAUUUCAUCAUCUUCAACACGUUCACGUUGCUUUGAAGGUUGACAAGAGCUGCUUUGCCCCCUUUCCGAUUGGCGGACUUGUGGAGGAGACGUAUGCUUCUUGUGCCAUUUCUUAGGAGUGACUUGAGUCCAUCCUUCAAGUUUGCUUGUUUUGGAGGAUGCCCCCGGCGGUUGAGGUGAAAAUUUUGUGUUGAAAGAGCCAGAAGUGAUGGUGGUAUAGUUUGACUUCACCACAUCGUCAAGAUCUAGCUCGAUGAUUCCUUUCUGAGCCCACUUUAUGAUGAGAUCUUUCAGCACAAAGCACUUUUCUGUCGGAUGACUGAUGAAGCGGUGGAAUUUACAGUAUCUUGGACUGUUGGUACGAUUCAUCUCUUCCGGCCAUCUGCACUCAGGCAAACUGAUCACCUUCUUGUCCAACAGGUCAUCCAACAUGGCAACCACAUCAGAGUCAGGGAAUGGAUAAGUCUUCUCUUUAAGCUCCUUCAAAGUGCGUCUACGCAUCUCUUGAUCACGAAAAGCUUCGGUUUGAAUCGUUUUGCCUCGUGUGGAGAUUUUGACGGGAGAUGUGUUGACUGUCAUUGCUUCCUUGGUGGAUUUCCACGUAGCCUUCUCCACCUUUGUCUCAAGAAUUUUGUCGUUCUUGUAGUCGGCGAUCGGUUCCUUCUUCCCAUGAUGGGUGAUGCUCAACUCCAUGUCAUGGGCGUGGGUGGCCAAUUCCUCGAAGGUCCGUGGUUUAAUGCCUUGAAGGAUGUAUUGCAAACCUCAUUGCAUGCCUUGGAUGCACAUCUCGAUUGAAGAGGUCUCCGAGAGCCUAUCUUUGCAGUCGAGGCUUAGAGUGCGCCAUCUGUUGAUGUAGUCAAUGACCGGCUCAUCUUUCCAUUGCUUCAUACUUGUGAGCUCCAACAUGCUUACAGUGCGGCGGGUGUUGUAGAAGCGGUUGAGGAAUUCCCGCUCCAAUUGCUCCCAGCUGUUGAUGGACUCAGGCUCUAGGUCCGUGUACCACUCAAAUGCGUUUCUUUUCAGCGAGCGCAUAAACUGCUUGGCGAAGUAGUCCCCCUCCGUCCCCGCGUUGUUGCAAGUUUUGACGAAAUGUGCAACGUGCUGCUUUGGGUUUCCUUUUCCAUCAAACUGCAUGAACUUUGGUGGUUGAUAUCCCAUCGGCAUCUUUAGGGCAUCAAUCUUCUUUGAAUAAGGCUUUGAGUACAACCCGGAGGUAUUUGAGCUCCCUUCGUACUAUGCCUUGACGGUGCUGGCAAUCAUCUCUUGCAACUGUUGGAUAGAAAGAGAUCCCAUGAGUGCCGCUUCUUGGUCUGGCUCCGGCUUCACAUCGAUUUUCUCCACCGUAGGCUCAUCUUCUGGGUUAGGGUUCUCGCUGUCCUGUGGCUCCAGUUGACUGAUGAGUGCAGCGAUUUGCAAGUCUUUUUCUUCCACAGUUCGGGUUAGCCUUGCGAUUGCUUCAUUCAUUUGAGCCAGUUGUUCUUCGAUGGAGGUAACGCCGAUGGUCAUGACUUGUGCAACCAAUAGACGUGACUUUCCUUUAGACAUCCAAGAUGCUGAAGAAGAACGUCAUUGGUUGUUUUGGGAUGUCAUCUUGUGUGCCUCAGCAACAUGCUUUGGUGCCCCCAGCGAGGUCAGGUUGAUGACAGACUCACACCUUUGAUGCUCCCUUUGCUCUUUUAGCGGCACCAACUUUGAAGUGGCAUGUUAAGGAGCGGUUGUGGUGCUAAUGGAUUGUCCAUUUGCGGCAGAAGUGCUUAGGAUCCUUCCCUCAGUGAUUGCGAGAACGGCUUGUCCCUUGCUUGAUGCCAUUGAUUUUGAGGUGUGUUUGGAUUCCUUAAACGGAGAAAGAUAUGAGAGGUAGAGAUUGUCCCACCGGGCGUGCCAAUUUGUGAACACGAAAAUUUCCUGAAACGAAAGAGACAAGAACAACGUGCACAAAAUAAUAUUUUGGUGUUAAUGGAUUUGUUGGGUUACGAUCUCUUUUAACUUGAUCCUCUGAUUCGAUCUCCGUAAGGUGUUGAUUUAUGGAUGUUUCGUUGAUCUAAGGGCCGUCGAGGCUUGAUCUUGGAUGAACUGUUGGAAGUUUCUUCAAGGGGCCGUGGGCUUGAUCUUUGAAGGUGGAUUUGAGCGGAUCUUCAAGGAGCCGUUGGGGCUUGAUCUUGAGGAUGAGUGUUUCUUCAAGGGCCGUUAAGGCUUGAUCUUGAAUAACGGUGAUGAACGGAUCUUCAAGGGCUUUUGGGCUUGAUCUUGAAGAACGGUUGGAUGUGUGGAUUUGUUGAUGUUGUUGAUCCAAGGGCCGUCGGGGCUUGAUCUUGGAAGAACGAUGAACGAAGAACGAAGAACACUUUCUUCAAAGGCCGUCGGGGCUUGAUCUUGAAUUGGUGAUUGUUGAUCCAAGGGCCGUCGGGGCUUGAUCUUGGAAGAACGGUGAACGAAGAAUGAAGAACGAAGAACACUUUCUUCAAGGGCCGUCGGGGCUUGAUCUUGAAUUGGUGAUUGUUAAUCAAAGGGCCGUCGGGGCUUGAUCUUGGAAGAACGAUGAACGAAGAACGAAGAAGGCUUUCUUGAUUCUUCGGGAUGAACGGAUGAUGAACAAUGAACACUUUCUUCAAGGGCCAUCGGGGCUUGAUCUUGAAUUGGUGGAAGUUCUUCAGGGCCUUUGGGGCUUGAUCUUGAAGGUGGAUGAUUGUUGAUCCAAGGGCCGUCGGGGCUUGAUCUUGGGAUGAACAGUUGUGUGGAUUUGUUGAACACUUUCUUCAAGGGCCGUCGAUGCUUGAUCUUGAAUUGGUGGAAGUUCGUCAAGGGCCGUUGGGGCUUGAUCUUGAAGAAGGAUUUGACGAAGAACGAAGAGAGCUUUCUUGAUCCUUCGGAAUUUGCUUGAAUUUGGGAGGUUGGAUGCUUGAAAGCUUUAGAGUUUCAAAGCUUCAAGGAUUUUGGAUGUGUGGGGAGUAUUCUCUUACAUUUUGGGAGUAGAGAAAUGUAUUUGUGAAUUGGUUUUUGAUACCUUGAUGUAGAAGCCUAUUUAUAGGCUUUGAGAAUGAAUCACCACCACAAAAUAUUUUUUUCUUUUCCAAGCACCAUUGCCUAAUUUCCCACUUAAUACAAUUUUAAACUUGAAGUGGUAAUUUUAUGGCCUAAUUUUCCACUUAAUAUCAUUUUAAACUUGAUAUGUGCAUGCUUUGUCAUUGCCCAAAAUGAGAAGAAAACCUUGUUUUGAUCUUCAAUGGAUUGAAAUGUGCUUUGCCUUGUCAUUGCCCAAAAUGAGAAGAAAAACUUGUGUAAUCCUCCAAGGGUAUUUCUUUUUAUUUUGUUGAGUCACACACCAUGUGUACAAUUUGUAUGACACGUGGCAUAUGCCAUAUAUGCCUUGACACGUCAAAAUUUUAAUGCGUUGGUGAACAUUUAUUUCACCGCAAUUUCGAUGUCUACAAUUUCAUUUCUUGUGAAUAAUGUUUAUCCUGUGUUCUGUCCAAUCGCGUAUUAAAAAAUGUGUGAAGUUUGGAUUAACCACACUCUUUUAGAAUUUCCUUUAUUUACCACUUUUUGAGAAUUUCCAAUAAGACUGGGUGAGUCUCCGCUGAGAAUUUCCUCAACUAACACCACACUACUUGAGGGAUAAUUUGUUAUAUCUUUGAAUAAAGAAUAAAACAGUUUCCUACUUUUGAAGGUACUAUUAACUUACACUAUAUUUGGAUGAAGGUCAAACUUUAUAAAUUGACAUACACCAAAUUCUUUGUUUGGAUUCAUAAACAUAUAAAUUUAGAAUUUCCGCGUGGAAAAAAAAAAUACUUAGAAUUUGAGACCUCCAAUUCUCAAAUUGAAAGUUUAAAAAUAAUAAAUUCCGUAUUCAAUUCAAUUGUUCUUUUAGGUUAACCAAAUAAGAAAAUUCACAAAUUCUAAAAUAUAAAAUCUCAUCAUUUCAAUUUCCGUCAUUUUAAAAUUCCUUAGUAAUAUUAAAUUUCUUCAUCCAAACAUAGUGUUAAGAAAUUUUUUAAAGAUACACUAUUUACACUCAUUUUUAUUUCUUACACAUUUAUUAACUUUGUCCAUUGAUUUCUUCAAUUCAUUUUGCCAGUUAUACAAAAAUUGAGAACAGUAUUUAUGAAUUAAAAAUACAUUUGUAGAUGUCACUACCAAAUUUUUAUUCCUAAUUCAAGAAAAUCUUAUCCAUAUAUGAUUGCCCUUGCCCACUUUAAAUGGGUGCCAUCACUUUACGAUAGAGCAAUCCUAACCGUCCACCUAGGUAAGCAUAACUGGCGAUGCAUGUCGCAAGGGGACCGCAUUGCACAAUAUAAUUAUACUAGUUGAUAAGACAAGUGAUGUCAAUCAAUAAAUUAUUUCAUUAAAACUUAGUUGUAUGUAUCAUAUGUUGUAAUGUAGGGUGUAUGAUAUGCUGACGCUGUAAAAAAAUGUAACCUUUUUAAUAUUACUCAUAAUAGUAAGACUUACCAGUAUUAGGAUGUUAUCAGUGGAAUGAGAAUCCUCUCCAGAUCUUUUUUGUGAGCUAUUAUUUGUAUUUAAUUUUAAAUAUAAAAAAUUAAAAUAAUUUAUGACGGCAGUGAUUCACAUGAUCUUCACAAAGAGAAUCCAAAUAAUCUUAAUUUAUAUCAGUGUGUCUAGAUAACAUGAUCGAGCCCCUUUACUUUUACCCUAUUUAGUAUUUUACAUUUGAACCUGUAAAUAUUCGAUUUUUCUUUGGUGCAACCGAGCACCAAAUAUAGAUUUUUUUUCACUUUUAUAUAAUGAUAAAUAAAGGGCAAUUGGCAGAUUUGAAUUCCAUUCGGAUUGGUCAAAAAUCAUUUUAAAUUGUUUUAUUUAAAAUUAAACACAUAUAGUACUUAAUAAAAAUUAGUCGUACAAUAUACGAUAAACAGAUAUAAUGUAAGGACCUUUAUGAUCUUCACAAAAAAGAUCCAAAGGUUGUGUAGCUGUUUCAAAAGGAUAAUACUCACUUUUGAUUAGUUCAAUGAAAUUUUAAACAUGUUUUAUUGUUUUAAAAAAUAAUAAACAUAUUUAUUAAUGUUUGUUUUACUUUAAAAAAUAAGCAGCACUUGACAACAUUUGAUUGUGCUAAAUAAAAAAUGAGUGACCACUUAGUACUACAGUCUUAUGAUAUUUUUCUUCAUUUGAAAGUGAGAGGUUUUAAGUUCGAAUCUCGUGGAUGACGAAUUUGAUAUCAAAUUAGAUUGCUCACUAUGUGGCUUAGCCGAACUCUCAUUUCCUUUAAUGUAAAAAUAUUGAUGUAUUCAAAAAAAUAAAAAGUGACUAUAGAGGACACUCAAUCUCAGCUGUAUGAUUAAAUCAGACGGUAAGAAAAAUUCUGCAAGCAUACUCGGUUACAUUAAUUGAAGAAAAAAUGGGUAAAUAUUGGGCACCAACGUUAUAAAUACCCUCCACCAUGCACCCAACUCCCUCACACCAUCACAACCCACGUUACAAAUCCUCCUCCUCAUCAUAACCAUUCUGUUUUCCGCAUAAUAUCCAAAAACCUAUCAUGUCUGAAGAGAAACACCACCGCGGUCUCUUCCACCACCACAAGGAUGAAGACAAACCCUCAGACUACCCUCAGUCUGGCUACUCUGAUGAAGGACGUCCCGGCGGCCUCGGUGGUGGUUACGGCGACACCAAUGAUUAUUCUGGUGAAGGACGUACCGGCGGCCUAGGUGGUGGCUAUGGCGACACCAAUGCUUAUUCUGGUGAAGGACGUCCCGGCGGCUAUGGCGGCUAUAACGAGACCACUGCUUACUCUGAGGAAAGAGUUGAAAGACCCGGCGGUGGCCGGUACAGUGAGACUACUGCGGCAUAUGGCAGCACCACCACUCAUGAAUCUGAACUUGAUUACAAGAAGGAGGAGAAGCACCACAAGCAUCUCGAGCACCUCGGCGAGGCCGGUGUAGCUGCUGCCGGCGCUUUUGCCUUGGUACGUAUUGUAUUUUAACCCACCUCUAUAUAUAUAUAUAUUAGAAUAAUGCUAAUAAGACCAAAUUUUGAAAACUAAAUGAUGUGGUUGUUGAUAAUGAACUUAUUACUCAAGUCUUGAUUAACAUGCUUAUUUUCUAAUAGUGACACAUUAUUUGGUUUAGAAAUUUGGUCUUCCUAACUUUAUCAUUCUCAAAAUUUUCAUGAUUUUGAUAGGGUAAUACGGGAGAUCAAAAUUUCUAAACCAAAUUUGCAAACCAAUAGAUGAUUGGAUUAUUAAUUAAGUAUCGAUUGUUUGUUUCUUAUUAACGACAUAUCAUUUGAUUUACAAUUUAGUUAAAAAAAAUUUAUUCUUUCUGUCAUAUCCUUUUGAAUAUUUGAUCACUUUACUCUUUAUCACUUUACCCUUGAUCACUUUACCCAUACUCUUGCAACCGAAUCACCGUCCUCCUCCUUAACCUUCAUUUUUUUGUCUUACAGUACUCCAAUCUAUCAACUCUGUCCAUUGCAACUUUAAUUGUGAAGAAAAUUAAAGUCCUAUCGUAAAAUUAAUUAGUGAUAUGGAGAGUUGCGCAAUUAUUGAUGGACUAGGUAGGUAAGAUACGGAAUCAAAGUCUACCAUUAACAAUGGACGGAAUUGAUGAACCAUAUAGGUAUGUAAGAUACGGAAUCAAAGUCCUCAUGUAAAUGGUACAGUUGCAAUCAGGAGAAGAAAUGAGUUAACUGAUACCUUCGUAAUAGUUCAUGUAGAGUUUUGAUAUUAUUAAGCCUUAACCACCUGAUCUUAUAUAUACGAGGACAAAUCUAAUCAAAUAUGUGUUAAUUUCAAGGUUUGUUUUACAUUGAUGUGAGAUCGAUGCUAGCAAGAUAUAUAACUUAUGUCAGUUUCUAUAUGAUGUGUGUAGCAUGAGAAGCACAAUGAAAAGAAAGACCCAGAGCAUGCCCACAGGCACAAGAUAGAAGAGGAGAUUGCUGCAGCAGCUGCAGUUGGUUCGGGUGGAUUUGCCUUCCAUGAGCAUCAUGAGAAGAAAGAGACAAAGGAAGAAGAGGAAGAGGCUUAUGGAAAGAAGAAGCACCACCACUUCUAGAUCUAUGUGGAUUGUGGAACAUCAUCUUUUGACUACAUAUGCAAUGUUGUGUUUUUACUAGUUAUCAUGUGGUGUGAUCAGUGAGAGUGUGAUGCUUAAUCUCAACAAUAUCGCUACAAUAGUUGAGUGGUUAAAUGUCCUUUUCAAUUAAUGGGUGCUAUCUGGUUUUCUUUUAGCAUGCCAUCUAUGUAUGUAUGUAUGUAUGUAUGUCAUUGUUAUUGUUCAUAAUAAUACUGUUUACUCGGUGUUUAUUUCCUAGUGGCCACAUCUCAUUUUAAAUGAUUUCUUCAUACCAUUAAUUUUUUAAAUGUAAAGACUCAGUAUCCAUAUAACUACGAAAAUUUUUGACAAAACAAAAACAAGAAAAAAGAAAAGGAAAAAAUGGCUUAGCAAGUUUGUAUCCUAUAAGACAAAUGGGUACGUGGAACGAUGGACAUCUCACAAUGGUUUUUGAAUCGUCGGAUCAUCAUGGUUGGACUAUAUAAUUAUCAUUGAUAUAAUAUAAAUUUUGAUUUUUUUUUAGGAAAUUAAUAUCUGAAAACAAUAUUGAUGUACUGCAUUUGUUUUGGACGAUAUUAUACUUUAAUCCAAAUUUUGAGAAAAAAAAAACAUAUCGAACUCAGGUGUACAAGAGUGGCUUUGCUACCCAUGUACAGGGCUAGUUCUGAGUUUUUGGGUGCCCAGUGCGAAAGCUCAAAAUGUGACAUUUUUUAAUACGAAAACAUAUAUUAAAAAAAAUAUUUAAUGAGGGCUGGAACCCAGUCGAAGCUGGAGGGCUAGGACCUCACGCCCAAAUUAUAUUACUUGAGAAAAUAUACAACUGAGGAGGGGACAUGGUACCUAAACCCCGACAAUCAAAAGUACAAUCAUAUACAACCACUCCUAGCAAAUCUCCUUCAAAUUUCAACCUUUAAGAAAUUGUCUUCUGGCAUUUUUUGAAGCAAAAUCAUCAAUUAUAUCAUCAUACUCCAAGUCUUCAAUCUCAUCAUUUUCAAUGCAUAAGAUUGCUAAUCCAUUUAGCCUAUCUUGAGUCAUAGUGGUCCGCAAGUAAGAUUUUAAUAAUUUCAAUUUUGAAAAACUUCUUUUUGCAGAUGCCAUGGUCACAAGUACAGUUAACAGUACACGAUAAGCAAUCAAGACAUUAGGACACAUGUCAGUUUCUUUUACAAAAUUUGCUAUUUCCAUGGAUGUCCAAGGGUUAUUAGAGAGAAAUGCUUCUUCAGGUAAUAUCAUUUGCAAAACCUGCAAUUCGGAAUAUAAGUCAACUCCAUCUACAUCCAUGGUAUUUCCAUGUUUCAAAUGUGCUUCAAGAUUCAUACAAUUUUCUUUUAGCUCUUGAUCAUCCAAUGAAAUUAACUUUGGUGCAUCAAACAAGAAGCCAAAAAUAGAUUCAAAGGAUUUUAACUGUUCAAACUUGUGUUUCAGUUGAGAAAGAGCAAUAUCCACUAUAACAAGAAAAUAAUAUUUCCUAAAUGAUUCUUUAGCAGAUUAUUGUUCCCUCUCAUUACCAUCAACUUCAUCAUGAUGUCUUUUUCUAGGUCUAUGACAUUUAGUUUGAAAAAACAGGGUCAAUUUCCAAAUCAAGUGCAAUUUCAUUAGCAUCACUCAUGGCGGAAGCAAAACCAGUUUCUCUGUAGUUUCCAAAAAAUGUAACAAAUGCUUCAAAUGCCUUUACAGCAACAUCAAGACGCAUGUCUUUAGAUUGUAAUUUUAUGCUCACCAUGUUAAUCUUCAACAAAAUGUCAUACUAAAUAACCAAACUUAAUACAAAAUCAAAACUUGAAAGUUCGCCUGAUGCUAAACAUCUUGCAUCCCUACUUAAUUGAGGAUUUUCAGUAAUUUCCACCAAUUAAACAAAGCAUUUCUAACCUGGGCUACUUGAGACUUAAUUGCUUUAACAUUUUCAAUGUGACUUUCCCAUCGAGUAGUUGACAAUGACUUCAAAGUUAAACCAUCAAUAUGUUCAACCAAAAUAUUCCAACGCUUUGUAGAGUUGGAAAACACCAUAUAUAUGCAUUGACAUGCUCUAAAAAAAGAUUUUGCUUUAAGACAUGAACUUGCCAUAUCACAAACUAUUAAAUUAAGCUAAUGAAAACCACAUGGCAUGUAAAAGGCUAUGGGAUUUAUGUCUAACAAUCUUUUCUGGACAACUUGGUGUUUCCCUCUCAUGUUAGAUCCAUUAUCAUAACCCUGUCCCCUCAUAUCAUCAAUAUCAAGGUCUAAAAUAUCGAUAUUAUCCCGAUAUUUCUUUCGAAAUUUCUGUGUUUUUGGAUUACCGAUAUUUCCGAUAUCAUCGAUAUUUUAGACCUUGAUAGGAACUCUAUGUGAUACUAAGUCACUCAUGUAUCUUACCAUGCAAUGUAUAAAGUGUAAAAUAUUGUAUUAAUUCAUUAUAUAUAAAUGAUUAUGGUGUGUUUAACUUCUUUCAUUAAUUACUACAUAUUUUCUACACUCAAAAUGUUUGUCAGCUCACUAUAUAAUCAACUUAAAUAAGUUAAAUCCAUCAUGAAAUGCAUUUCGUUCCAAUUUUUUGUAAUAAACUAGUAGAUAAUUGACUAAAUAAACAUCCUGCAAAGUUUCAAUAAAAAUUUCCAAGUUUUUCUUAUAAUUUCCGUGGUUUUUAUUCAAUUUUUAUCGAUAUCGAUAAUAUCCCGAUAUUUCCAUCAAAAUUUCCGUAUUUUUGGACUAUCAAUAUUUUCGAUAUCAUUGAUAUUUUAGACCUUGAUCAAUAUCAAGAUCAAGAGAUUUUAGGACAUCUUGCAGCUCGUUAAAAAGCCCUUGUCCUAAUGUAUCUUUCACACUUAAAAACUCCAUGAAAUACUCCCUUAUAUUUAUUGACCUACUUGACAAGUCAACACAUCACAAAAUUAAAGUCAUCUGUUCCACAUGACUUGCAUUAGGAGUACAAUCAAGAAUGACAAAAAAAAAUUUGGCUUCUUUUACUUUUUUAAUGAUUGCGGUUUUGACUUUUGAAGCUAAAGUAGCUAUCAACUCAUUUUUGUUGGAAAUGUGCCCUAAAACCAAUCAUAUGAUGAUACUUUACGAACGUUUCACAUGUUAAACUAAUAUAGUUUAAUAUAAAGGGCAAAAAUUAUUGUUUGUAGCCGUCUCAUAUAAAUGUUAUACGCUUAAACGAUAAGUCCAAGGAAUAUGUAAUUGGGAGAAUGCGAUCUAAAGAAGUUAGAUUCAUGAGACCAUUCUCUUCCGUAUACAUAUCCUAAACGUUACUGAUCAUAGGAUUGUCAAUUGGGCAUUGAUAGUCUGUUAAGAUCAGUACGUGUUAUGUCUUCUCUUAAGGAGAGUGACUGGUCUCGAGUCAUUGGUGUGACUGACACCAAGACAAGCAUGUAGGUGCUCAAUAGAGAAUGAGUCCACUGAACACGAUCAACAAGGAGUUCUCAUACUCAUGUCACAUGAGAACUCGUGGUUGGAAUAAUGCAAAGUAGUCAUUUGACCUGAGGCAUCAUAGUUGUCUUGUGGUUAGGUCCUUGAUCUUUGACUAUGUCAAAGUCACUCCGUCAGAGGGUGUCCAUUGCAUAGUUGGGGUUAAGCCACUUAGCCAUGGAGGCAAGUGAAUGCACAAUAAGGGAUCUCUAACCUUCAAACUAUUUGAGGGAGAAUACUCUAUGAUAUGAUUAAGAAUCUCUGGCCAGAGUAUGAAUGAUAUUUAAGAAGUCGUUCCAAAUCACAUUCAAGGUAAUCAUAUAAGUAAGAGAAUCACAUUGGAUAGUAGACAUGAAUAAACUAUCAAACCAAACAAUGUGGUCAAGAGUAUUGUAUUAGAGUAAGACCGUAUUGCAUUGUAAUCCUAAACUAAAUAGGUUCUCCACCUCUUCUGAUCAGCUUGGGUAACCAUGACAUACUGCUAGGUGUUACUCAUGAUUUGUGGAAGCCCUAAACGUGUAUAAUCACUAAAGGGAGAAUUGAAAGUAAGUUUCAAUUUACAAUCGAUUUGAAAGAGUUCUAAUCGCUCACUGCCUCGCUAAAAGGAACCUAAUGGAUCGUACACCGUGUAAGGUAGAGAUUGAAAAAACAACGGAGAUAAGUAAGGACAAUUAAAUGGUUUAAUUGUUUAUGACAAGAAUUAAUUAAUAUGUUAAUUAAUCAAACGAAUAAGUUCGGGUUAAACCUUGAGUUAGUUUUGGGCAUUAAAGCCCAAAUUGGGCUUCGAAUCUUCAAACCCAUUAGCUUAAGUUGUAUGACAACUUAACAAACAAAAUUCAAGAAGCCCAAAACAGCCCAAAGGCUUGGGAAAACCAGCCAUAUAGAGAGGGGUAGUGAACUUGGCUUAAUUGCAAGUUUGCCAUUCCAUUGUGAGGUGGUAUAAAGGCAACUUUAUAGCCAUUUCAUCCUUAGGGUUUCUUUUGGAGAAAAGAUGAGAACACAAGCUCCCUUUUCUCUCUAAGAGGCUGGCCACCCUAGAGGAUUUUAGCUAGCAAUCUUACUUCCUCUAGGUCACUCAUCUCUUCUUCAAGUCAUUCCUUGGUGUGGAGACUUAGAGGUUCCUUUCAACCAUCUUCAUCCAAGAAAUCCAUGGAGCUAAGAAGCAAGGAAUGAAGGCCCUCGCCUUGGGUGAUUAGCCUUUGCUUAUGCAAAGAGGAAUCAACAAAGGUAUAAAAUUUCUCAACUCACUUUGUUCUUGAGUUGAGUCUUGGUUCACAUAACUACUAGGCUUUGAAUUUCAUGGGUAAUGUUUUGUUUUGAGUGCAUACAAGCAUGAUUCCGCCUUUAAUUGUUAAUUGCAUGCCAUAGAUGUUGCUCAAAUGAACAUGUUUCUCACAAAAUUUCCUUCAAUUUUGAAUUUUAUGGCUCAAAUAGUGAUGAUGAAUCUCUUUAUUCUCAAUAAGUCGAAAAUGCUAUUGCAUUAUUGGAUCAAACUCCGCAUUCAUUUCAAGUAAACCUAAGAAGUUGCCAUUAGAGUCUUCAUAAAGUCUUUCAUUUGUUCCACGAAAUGCUAAAUUACGUAUGGCAAGACAUUUCAUAACAUCAAUAAUUCUAAGCAUCACUUGUUUCCAAUGAUUUGGCUCUUUCUUGAUUUGCAUUUGAAAUUCUUUGUCAAUUGUCUGAUUUUUUGUCAAUCUACUUUUCAACUCAACCCAAGUUCUCGAAUUAAUGAGAUGCUCUUUACUCUUUUCAUAUUGGUCAAGCUUCUUACCAAGAUGUCUCCAAUCACUAGUUCCAUCUUUUGCUAACUCACUUUUUGAGGCAAUUAUUUUAAACAAUUUACAACAAAAGCAAAAGACUUUAUCCAACUCUUUUGAGUACACGAGCCAUUUCCUAUCGUAAAUUUUACCCGUUCGUAAUUUUCGAUCAUAGUAGUGUGAGGAAAAUUUUCUAGAGAAUUUGUCCUUAGGAUAAGUGAAUUAGUUUCUCAAAUUGGUCCUUUUUCUACAAGUAAGUCUCUCAUUUUUGCAUUAAGACCAUCCCAAACUAUUGGAUCAUAAAUGUCUAAAUGAAAAAUAGGUUCAAGAGAUUCAAUAUUUUCUUCUACACCAAAAUGAUCAUCAUCAACAUUUAAAUCCACAUCACCACCAUUUUCAUGAUCUUGAGACUCAUCACCAACAUUUUCCUCUAAAUCACCACAAUUUUCUUGGUCAUGAGACUCGUCAUUAACAUCUUUCUCCACAUAACCACAAAUUUCAUCAUCAUGAGACUCCCCAACAAUAUUUUGUGACUCUUCACCAACAUCAUUUUCUCUCAAAUUUUCAACCGACUCAUUCUUUAUAGAAUUUUUUUUAUUAAGAGAUCCUCUUAAACUUUAGGCAAUUUCGUUAUCCUUUGCCUUUUUUUUCCUUUUCAUAUUACUAGAGAGUUAUUUUCUAAAAGACAUGGCUUUGAUAAUUUGUUUGCAAAAAUUACCUACAUAUGAUAUAACAAAAAUUUCCUAUUAAAAUUAUCAUCAACAAUUCAAAAAUUACCUACACAUGAUAAUCAAGAAUUCAAUUCAUCAACAACAACAAUUCUAUACAUCAAUUAUCAUAUAAUUCUGUCACUUGCAAAAUUUAUAUUAAAUUAUGAAUUAAUAAUUCAAAUUAAAAAAUUAGUUUACCUCAAAACUCAAAAGGGUUGUUGAAUGCAAGGACUUGUGGGCCUGUGGCUGUCGGGUUUGGAAGCUGUAGCCUGCAGCAGCGCAACAAAUUAUCAGACGGUAAGGGCUAGGGCAGUGGGGUAACAAUGGGGUGGGGAAUCGGGAAAAAGGGGAACUUAGGGUUAAUUGGGGGGGGGGGGGGCGGGGACGAGUGGUCCCCUUGUGUUGUUAUUUUUUAUUUUUUUAAUGGCCAAAACCUGGGCUGGUCUUUUUUUUUUAAUUUUUUUAUUAUUUAUAAAUGCCCAAAACCUGGGCCGUUCCCUUCAUUUUCAAACUUGGGCCUCUUGCCCUCUAGUUCUUAUUUUGGGCUCUGGACAAAUUUUUUUUAUACCUAAUUAUUUGGACUUUUUUUUUGGUGCCCCUUUCAAUUUUGGGCCUUGGAAUGGCCCUGGUUGCACUGGGCCUGGGCCGGGCCUGCCCAUGUAUAUGUUAUCUUGUGAUUUGACAAGUCAUAUGUAUAUCAUAUCAAUUUUAUCUCAAUUGUGGUGAUGGUACAUAAUACUUACUACAUCGUAUGGCAACAAAUAAAUAUGGGCAUAAAGAUAAAUAGAAUGGUAUCAGUAAAUUAAGGUCUUCACAUUACGAUUAUAUUUAUCUCUAUUUUUAGUGGAAAGUUUUAAGGAUAAUUUUUUUUCUGCCUCCUACAUGGGUCUCGAUUCUCCUCUACGGUAAAAAUCCGUAUGUUUUAAAUAUUGAAAAGUUAAUUUAGCCCAAAUCCUUGCCUAUUUUAGGGAAAAUAAAAAAAAUUCAUUUUUAACCCUUUGAUUACUUAUAUCACCUAGUAUAACCUUUUUUUUUGUGUGAUACAAACAAAUAUUUUUGUUUGGGCCCAAAAUAUUAUUUUAGGCUGAGCUUAGGUCAUUCUCGGCCUAGUGGCAUUCAUUUAGAAUUUUGUUAUGGGCCGUCCAGUUAAGGUCAGCCGAAUCCUAUUAUGAAAAGGUUUGGUUUGGAUAAGGGUGAGUUGGUCGAUACUAGUGCAACAAGGAUUCUGAAGACUAAGGACAUUGAGAAUUAAAGGGUGAAUUUGGUUUGUUAAGAAGCUUGGUUCAAAGUCCUACAGGAAUUAGGAUUGGUUGAAACCUGAUCGGAUUGGGUUGAGGAGUUCUAAUCCUAGUCCAUUUCUAGUUCGGCUAUGAGGGGAUUCAUUAUUAUAAAUAGAGAAGGGAGUGCAUCAUUCAAAGCCCCUCCAAUUCAACACACAAAUUGCCUUGUGCAAAGCUUCUCAACAACCUUUGAGAUUUUAUCCACUUCCUCUUUCUUUUGCCAACACAUCUUCAGUUUGGAUAAAUAGCACUGUGAAGGCAACCGUCGACAUCUUCAGUUUGGAUAGACUGCACUAGAGCCGUAAAAUUAGCCGACCAAGGAGCACCUUUAGUUUGGAUGGACAACACUGCUUUGAGGCCGACUGGCUAUUUAUUCAAGUCUCGGCUGAGAAGGAUUUUCAAAUCCUUGUUGGUAGAGGUCAUCUCGUCAGCCUUCUCGGCAAAGUGAGGUGUUACAGGUUUCUGGGCUCGGCACAUUGAACGUUGAGUUUUGUUUUAUGAUUAGAUACUCACAAGUAAGUUUUAGAGUUUGGCAUUCCGAUGGCCGAAUCACAUUUACAAUCAAGAUAUAUAUUUCUUUCGAGUAUUUGUGUCUGUAUAGUUUGGUACCAGUUCGGCAUGCUUAUACUCUCACGAAUAUAAUCACUAUGAUCGAACCUGAUGCCGAUGAUUUGUGAACUUCAUAGAACUAGCAACCUUGUCUUCAGGCAUUAUAAUCCAAAGGCCGAGACAUGUUCCUUCAUCGAUCGCAGUCGUAAGAUCGAGAAGUCAGCAGCGCGCCCAACGAGACAUCAACACAUUCUAUUCCUCGACCGAGUUGGCACGCCCUGCACAUAACUGAAGGACGUAGUUAGCUUAUUAGUUACUCAGCCUAUGCGUCACGUAGGCUUCAUAGUUUUUAGUGUCAACAUUUUGGCAUGCCCAGUGGAACCCAGUGUUAAAGCUACGAAGUUCAUGACCAUUGAGACACGGUCAGUAAAAAAGAAACCAGUAAUGGGAAAGUUGACAACUAAUCUUCCAGUCUAAAACUCAUGACAAGAUGGGUUGUUAUAGACACAGAUUCAUGCUGCUGCCAUGACACCUGAAGCCACAAGUGCGACAUGCCGAGAAAAGGAAGUGAAUCUUGGCAAUCAGCCUUGUGGUGCAGAAAUCCCCACCAAAACGACAAAAGGCAUUUUUGUUGAAGGAAUAGUGGAUGAUUAUGACGAGGACGGUGGUAAGGCCUCUGAUCCACCAACCAGGUCGUUUUUUCGACGACGACUUGAAGAGUAAUCUUGACAACUUGAGCAGAUGUUCAGCCGAGAGAUAAAAAAACAUAUUUAAAGAAAUGCGUGAUAAUAUCGCUGUACAUAAUUUAUUGCUCGAAGUUCUGGUUAGUAAAGUCCAUGACAUUGGACCCACCAAUCGAUCCAGGCAUCAUUUUUUCAGGAAUAACCCACUACCAAUAGUACAGGUCGAGACAUAAUCCACUUGGCUCAAAAUGAUUAACUUACAGAAAAGUGGUGGGUUAAUCAGCAGAUCAAACGGAUUCGACCAGAGAGCGGAAACGACAUAUGUUGAUAUGGUUGAAGUUUAGAGAAUGAUUGAUUCGGCCUUGAAAAAUGGGCCAAAGUUUCCAAAAUUCAUUCACCCAU